rnacentral:rRNA from 1 species
UACGUAGGGCGCAAGCGUUAUCCGGGAAUUAUUGGGCGUAAAGAGCUCGUAGGCGGUUUGUCGCGUCUGCCGUGAAAGUCCGGGGCUCAACUCCGGAUCUGCGGUGGGUACGGGCAGACUAGAGUGAUGUAGGGGGAGACUGGAAUUCCUGGUGUAGCGGUGAAAUGCGCAGAUAUCAGGAGGAACACCGAUGGCGAAGGCAGGUCUCUGGGCAUUAACUGACGCUGAGGAGCGAAAGCAUGGGGAGCGAACAGG